GGUGUGUGAGGGAGUUUAUUGAGGAUAAUUGCUCGUACAUCUAGAAAAUAUAGUGAGAUAUGAAUCUCAUGAUUAAAGAGGCCAUUCCGCUAUUAUGGGCCAAUCAUCAUUGAGUGUGGGGGGAUUUGGACAUCUCCAUGUGCCUUCAGAAUGGCCACAUGGUAAUGACCAAUUGGCCAACAUGAGAACUUCAUGGCAGAUUCACAUCAGCCUUCAAUUAGUCAGAUGUACC
rnacentral:lncRNA from 1 species